rnacentral:rRNA from 1 species
CGGGAAGCGAGUAAAGUGGCGCACGGGUGCGUAACACGUAAAGAACCUACCUUUGUGAUCGGGGCAACCACGGGAAACUGUGGCUAAUUCCGGAUACGUUCUAGUGAACAUAAAGUUUAUUAGAAGAAAGCGGCCCUCUGAUAUAAGGUCGCGCACAUAGAUGGCUUUGCGGCCCAUCAGCUUGUUGGUGAGGUAAUGGCUCACCAAGGCUAUGACGGGUAGCUGGUCUGAGAGGACGAUCAGCCACACUGGGACUGGUACACGGCCCAGACUCC